GCAUUCAAAAAAUCUUCGAAUAUACUAUCAGUAAUGUAUCAAUAAACUUAUUAUUUUUCAAAAGUUAUGAUUUCUUGUUUACUCAUCAACUCACAAUCAUAAAAAAUUUGAAGAAGCCUUUGAUCGUUUUAAAAUGAGAUGAUCUUUGAUCAACCAGACUGAAGGAGCCUUUGAUUAGCUUUAAAUUAAAAUGAGAUGAUCUUUGAUCAGUCCGACUGAAGGAGCCUUUGAUCAGUUUUAAAUUAAAAUGAGAUGAUCUUUGAUCAGUCUGAUUGAAGGAGCCUUUGAUUGACUUUAAAAUGAGAUGACCUUUGAUUGAUUCGAUUGAAGGAGCCUUUGAUCAGCUUUAAAUUAAAAUGAGAUGGCCUUGGAUCGGUCUGACUGAAGGAGCCUUUGAUCAGCUUUAAAGUGAGAUAGCCUUUGAUCGGCUCAAUUAAAGGAGCUUUUGAUCGACUUUAAAUUAAAAUGAGAUAACCUUGAUCGAUCCGACUGAAGGAGUCUUUGAUCAGCUUUAAAAUGAGAUGAUCUUUGAUCGGUCUGACUGAAGGAGCUUUUGAUCGGCUUUAAAAUUAGAUGAUUUUUGAUCAGCUCGACUGAAGGAGCCUUUGAUCAGCUUUAAAUUAAAAUAGGAUGAUCUUUGAUUAGUGCGACUGAAGGAGUCUUAUAUCAGAUUUAAAAUGAGAUGAUCUUUGAUCGAUCCGACUGAAGGAGCUUUUGAUUGACUUUAAAUUAAAAUGAGACCGUCUUUGAUCGGCUCGACUAAGGGAGCCUUUGAUCGAUUUUAAAAUGAGAUGGCCCUUGAUUGGUAUGACUAAAGAAGCCUUUGAUCGAUUUUAAAUUAAAAUGAGACAGUUUUGAUCAGCCUGAAUGAAGGAGCCUUUGAUCGAUUUUAAAAUGAGACGAUCUUUGAUCAGUCUGAUUAAAGGAGAUUUUGAUCGGUUUUAAAAUGAGACGAUCUUUGAUCAACUAGACUGAAGGAGCCUUUGAUCGAUUUUAAAAUGAGAUGAUCUUUGAUCAGCCCAAUCGAAGGAGCCUUUGAUCGGCUUUAAAUUAAAAUAGGAUGGUCUUUGAUCGGCUCGACUGAAGGAGCCUUUGAUCAGCUUUAAACCGAGAUGGUCUUUGAUCGAUCCGAUUGAAGGAGUCUUUGAUCGGUUUUAACAUGAGAUAGCUUUUGAUUGGUCCGACUAAAGGAGCCUUUGAUCAGGUUUAAAUUAAAAUGAGAACACCUCUGAUUGGUCUGACUGAAGAAGACUUUGGUUGGCUUUAAAAUGAAAUGCCUUUGAUUGAUCUGACUGAAAGAGGCUUUGAUUGGCUUUAAAUUAAAACAGAAUGGCCUUUGAUCGGUUCGACUGAAGGAGUCUUUGAUCGGCUUUAAGUUAAAAUGGGAUGGCCCUUGAUUGGUCCGACUAAAAAAGUCUUUGAUCGAUUUUAAAUUUAAAUGAGGCCUUUGAUCAGCCUAACGAAAGAAUAGUCAUCAAACAAAAGCAAACACAUACGCAUGAUACAUGGGAAGAAGCAAACUAGUUUUUUCAUUAAAAGAUAUUUGCAAAAAGUAGUGCUCCAAGCACCGCCCCAUUAAAAAAAAAAGAAAGAAGAAAGAAGAAAUGAUAAAGAGCUUACUCUUCAUUCGAGGAAAAGGUCCCUAUAUCCUCAUCACUAUUACUAGGGAGGAGGUAGUGGAGGUCUAACUGUGACAUCAUCCAUCAUAGGUGGGCCUUACAGUCUUCGAACCUGAAGACAAAGACGGUAGCGGCAAUGUCGGUGACAUCCUACUUGAACGUUGUCGAGAUCUUGUAGUCCUUGAUGCGGUGCUCAUGAACUGUGUGAGGGAUCUGUUCAGUGGAGGGGGCUCCCCCAUCUUUGGUAGGUGACGGUGGCUAUGGGGCAAACGACAUUCUGAGUGAGGAAGAUAGGUUGGACCCUUCUCUCUUCAACUUUUUUGACGAAAGGGCCUUCUUCCCAGUGGCUCUCCUCUCCUUCAUCAGGUCCUUAAUGGAUUUUUUGGAGGGCAUCAUGGUGAUAAGGGAGAGGGAAAGUUUUUGCAAGAGCUACAAAAAAAAGGAUGGAAGAUGAAGUUCUCGCCAGCCA
rnacentral:lncRNA from 1 species